rnacentral:rRNA from 1 species
UACGUAGGGUGCAAGCGUUGUCCGGAAUUAUUGGGCGUAAAGAGCUCGUAGGCGGUUUGUCGCGUCUGCUGUGAAAACUCGGGGCUUAACUCCGGGCCUGCAGUGGGUACGGGCAGACUAGAGUGCGGUAGGGGGAGACUGGAAUUCCUGGUGUAGCGGUGAAAUGCGCAGAUAUCAGGAGGAACACCGGUGGCGAAGGCGGGUCUCUGGGCCGAUACUGACGCUGAGGAGCGAAAGCGUGGGGGAGCGAACAGG